GUGGGGAAUAUUGGACAAUGGGCGAAAGCCUGAUCCAGCAAUGCCGCGUGAGUGAUGAAGGCCUUAGGGUUGUAAAGCUCUUUUACCCGGGAUGAUAAUGACAGUACCGGGAGAAUAAGCUCCGGCUAACUCCGUGCCAGCAGCCGCGGUAAUACGGAGGGAGCUAGCGUUGUUCGGAAUUACUGGGCGUAAAGCGCGCGUAGGCGGUUUUUUAAGUCAGAGGUGAAAGCCCGGAGCUCAACUCCGGAAUAGCCUUUGAAACUGGAAAACUUGAAUCUUGGAGAGGUCAGUGGAAUUCCGAGUGUAGAGGUGAAAUUCGUAGAUAUUCGGAAGAACACCAGUGGCGAAGGCGACUGACUGGACAAGUAUUGACGCUGAGGUGCGAAAGCGUGGGGAGCAAACAGG
rnacentral:rRNA from 1 species